GCCGGUCCUCGGUAGUGGCUCCCGGGAACACACGUUGCCGGCAGCUUCGAUCGAAGGCCGGC
rfam:Pseudonocardia sp. HH130630-07, complete genome.